AGAAUUGUAGAUGGACAUCCUU
rnacentral:miRNA from 1 species